rnacentral:rRNA from 1 species
UACGUAGGGGGCUAGCGUUGUCCGGAAUCAUUGGGCGUAAAGCGCGUGUAGGCGGUCCGGUAAGUCCGCUGUGAAAGUCGGGGGCUCAACCCUCGAAUGCCGGUGGAAACUGUCGGGCUAGAGUACGGAAGAGGAGAGUGGAAUUCCUGGUGUAGCGGUGAAAUGCGCAGAUAUCAGGAAGAACACCCGUGGCGAAGGCGGCUCUCUGGGACGGUACUGACGCUGAGACGCGAAAGCGUGGGGAGCAAACAGG